UGGGGAAUAUUGCACAAUGGGCGCAAGCCUGAUGCAGCCAUGCCGCGUGUGUGAAGAAGGCCUUCGGGUUGUAAAGCACUUUCAGCGGGGAGGAAGGCGUUAAGGUUAAUAACCUUGGCGAUUGACGUUACCCGCAGAAGCAGCACCGGCUAACUCCGUGCCAGCAGCCGCGGUAAUACGGAGGGUGCAAGCGUUAAUCGGAAUUACUGGGCGUAAAGCGCACGCAGGCGGUUGAUUGAGUCAGAUGUGAAAUCCCCGGGCUUAACCCGGGAAUUGCAUCUGAUACUGGUCAGCUAGAGUCUUGUAGAGGGGGGUAGAAUUCCAUGUGUAGCGGUGAAAUGCGUAGAGAUGUGGAGGAAUACCGGUGGCGAAGGCGGCCCCCUGGACAAAGACUGACGCUCAGGUGCGAAAGCGUGGGGAGCAAACAGG
rnacentral:rRNA from 1 species